rnacentral:rRNA from 1 species
UAAUACGGAGGAUCCAAGCGUUAUCCGGAAUUAUUGGGUUUAAAGGGUCCGUAGGUGGACAAUUAAGUCAGAGGUGAAAUCCUGCAGCUCAACUGUAGAAUUGCCUUUGAAACUGGUUGUCUUGAGUCAUUAUGAAGUGGUUAGAAUGUGUAGUGUAGCGGUGAAAUGCAUAGAUAUUACACAGAAUACCAAUUGCGAAGGCAGAUCACUAAUAAUGUACUGACACUGAUGGACGAAAGCGUGGGUAGCGAACAGGAUUAGAUACCCUGGUAGUCCACGCCGUAAACGAUGGUCACUAGCUGUUCGGACUUCGGUCUGAGUGGCUAAGCGAAAGUGAUAAGUGACCCACCUGGGGAGUACGUUCGCAAGAAUG